AUACAUUUUAUGUUACAACUUUAUUGAGUCCCUAAUUGGGUAUACAUUUGAAUACAUAUAUAUACAUUUGUAUACCCAAUUAGGGACUCAAUAAAGUUGUAACAAAAAAUUUAUG